UACGUAGGUGGCAAGCGUUGUCCGGAUUUAUUGGGUUUAAAGGGUGCGUAGGCGGCCUUAUAAGUCAGUGCUGAAAUAUCCCGGCUUAACCGGGAGGGUGGCAUUGAUACUGUAGGGCUUGAGUGUAGUCGAGGUAGGCGGAAUUGACGGUGUAGCGGUGAAAUGCUUAGAUGUCGUCAAGAACACCGAUAGUGUAGACAGCUUACUAGGCUACAACUGACGCUGAGGCACGAAAGUGUGGGGAUCAAACAGG
rnacentral:rRNA from 1 species